AACAGGUGACUGGUUAGACAA
rnacentral:miRNA from 2 species